ACUAAACCAGAACAUUGAGUCCAGUCCUGUCCAUCCCAUCUGUCCUGUCACACAAAUGUGAUAAAACAAUGACUGACAUUCUCAUAAUAAAGCUUGUAGAAUAUGUUUUAAAAAUGAAUAACACCAAUUGUAAGAAUGAAUAGGGUGAGAGAGAAAAUGGUCUGCCUGGUUUUGUGUGUCCUCCAGUGUGUAUCGUAAAGGUCUCUCUCUCUCUCUUCGUUUCACCCCGCUGUGGGUUUGUGUGUUAGAGGGUGAAUAAAUGUCUAGUGAUUGGAAACCUUUUCCUUUUGUAAACUCGAGUCUCUGCCAGAGAGCAUUGUGUAGCAUUGUUUACCAGCCCUCUUGUCCCCUUGUCUUGCCUGUGUGUGUGUGUGUGUGCGUGUGUGUCUGUGUGUGUGUGUGUGUGUGUGUGUGUGUGUGUGUGUGUGUGUGUGUGUGUGUGUGUGCGUGUGUGUGUGUGUGUCUGUGUGUGUGUGUGUGUGUGUGUGUGUGUGUGUGUGUGUGUGUGUGUGUGUGUGUGUGUGUGUGUGUGUGUGUGUGUGUGUGAUAUAAAGUUGACAUUACCAGUUGAUUGCUCCCUAGACUAGUCUUUGUGUGAGCUCAUGCAUGCACAUGCAUGGCUGUGCACGGUAAUGCAUAUGACGGCUGACAUUAUGGGAUUGCCACCAGUGUGUGUGUGUGUGUGUGUGUGUGUGUGCAGCUGUGUUCUUGUAUAUGGGACAGCUGGGAUGAUUACUUGUGUGUGUAUGCAUGUGCACAUGUGCUUAUUUUCCAUUCAAACAUGGCGUGUUGGUUUGACAAUAUGAUGUAAGAUUGCGUCACUUUUCGGUUUAACAUGUUAUUGAAUUGAACAAAUUCUGAUUGGCUGGUUGUUAUGCUGCAGGUCAGUUAGCUUAGUUAUACAGUGCUGCUGAGGCAUAAAUGGAAGCUUUUGUAAACAAUCACCUUUUUUGACUUUGAUUAUGUCUAUAUUAAUCCCACAACAUGGACUUUUAUCCACUUGUGUUGCAUUCAUUAAUGCCAAACUUUAAUCUUGAACAUGGAGGGAAAUUUUAAUGUAAAUCUCAUCAAAGUUUGAACUGAACUUGUUAAAGGUGUAGCAAUCGAUGUUUCUGAAGAACCGCCCACUCAACGUUCUUUAAAAUGCACAUGCGCACCCCUCUACCAGUUCGUGGAGCGUGCUCGUGCACGCUCUGUUUCCAAGCAACUGCCGGCUUUGCACCUGUUGACUCUAGUAAAUUAUUUUUUUCCCCACAAUGUCGGAUUCUCCAUCAGUAAGUUAUAUUCCAUGUAGCAUUACGAGCAUCUUCAUAGCUUUUUUUGUAAUGCUAUAGUUAGCUAUCAAUUAGCAUAUAAGUUAUAUUGUUUUGCUGAUUGGUUUAGAGCUUUCCUGAGGAAAGUCUUGUUGGUUCCGAUACGGACUACGAGCCCGUGCCCGGUCCAUCCCGACCAAGAUUCAGGAUGAGGGUGCACCUAGAGACCGAGUGAGACCAUCCAGGGCCGGAAGAGCCACAGCUUCAACAACCCGCGGCAGCCGAGAGCAGGAAGGAGGCGGCCGUGUCAGAGGUCGACGUCGAGUUCGAGGUCAAGCUAGAACCCGUGGGGGUCUGCUCGCUGACAUUACACGGGAUGACUUAGAGAGGGUCCAACAACUCCGGCAACAGUUGGUGGCAGUGAAAGAGGCUAGGAUAAAGAGACUGACGCUAGAAGAGUGCCAACAGCUUCUACAAAGAUGUCUCACAUGGGAAUCUAGUCUAAUAUUUGACCUGAUGAGUCUCACCCCUGAUCACCCACAACCUGGACCUUGUCCUCCACAGUCACCCAGCUGGUGUGUCUGUCUACAGUGCAGAAAUAUGGCAACACCGCUGGAACAAAAAUGCUGUCAACAACAACAACCACAGAACUGUACAUCACUGUUGCCACACAUGGACUUAUACAUCUUGAAUGAAGGUGCAUUGAGACUGGCCAGACGAAUCUGGAAUGACCUUAGAGCGGAGGCUGACAUCCGGGAUCCAGGAGAAAGCCAUAGGCAGUUCCGCUAUGCUGCAUACAGGAACUUUAUUGUCUGGCAGUAUGGCCUUCUGGGACCAGGUGAUAGAAUUGUUAUACCUUCAUGUUGUGUGUGGAAAAUUAGAGAUAGUUUCCCAGAUCCAAAUGUAUGUAGGCUUUCUUCCAUCAAGAGUGUAAAACAUUUAUAGAUGCCUAAUAAAUCUUUUUGUAAUUUACCUCAAAAAAAGAGACCUCAAGAGCUUCACUUGCACACUCAUAAUCUGAUUAAUUACACGGUUGUAUUCUGACACUUCAAAUAUGUAACAUUUCCAGGUUUUAAUAAAACAAGUCUUCCAGGGUUUGUUAGGUGUUCAAACACAACUUUACAUUUAUAAAUACGUAAACAAUUUACCUCAGCAAAAAAUUAUUAAAAAAAUGUAUGCGGAAAUAUAAACAAACGGUUAUGAAUUUUUUUUAUUAGUUCUUACGUAUAAAAUCGAUGUUUUAUGAAAGGCAUACAUCCACCAGAAAAUGUUUGAUAUGGCACAUUAUGUACAGCUGAAAAAGAAGCACACAUUUGGUUCCCUUUAGAUGUAGGUACAGUUGUAAACAUCAAGUUGUCUCUCCUCGUCACCCACAGCAUUUUGUCACACCCUGUCCUGUCUCCCCAUUCUGUUCAGUCAUGUGUCCCUGUUAAUUGCUCCCACCUGCCUCUCGUUUUCCAAUCACCCAAGCUCCCAGCCCUCAUGUAUUUAAACCCUCUCAGUUCUGUGUGUUUUGUCGGUUCAUUGUUUCCAUGUCCUGCGUGCAGUUACUAUUAAAAGACCUUUUGCAUGUCCAGAUUGCCUGCCUGCUUCCUCCCCAGCAUUUGGAUCCUCACAAACCGCUCAACUCACCUGCACCGUGACAGAAUGAACCGACCUCCCGAAGGAUCCAGCGGGGAGGUUCUCCCCUGGGAGUACCUGCUCCGAUGGCUCACCCCGAGUCACCAGCCGGCUUCUCCUCCUCCAAUUCCGCCACGCCGCCAUCGAGCCUCGGCGUUCCUCUCCACCCUCCUGGAGCUAGAUGAGAGGUUGGACUGGGAGACGCAGCCGGACCAAUCCUGCUAUGUGGGCACCAGGCUGGCUGUGUGCUCCCCGGCGUUGGUCCGCGGCACCGGGAAGGAACCCUGGCUCCACCAACACCUCCAGCACGUAAAAAAAAUAAGAUGCAGCUGCCCAUUACACUUCUUUGCUGAAAAACUUUUAAUAUUUUAUGAACCCCCUGUUGGAUAUUUCUUUACCUCUCAAAGUCCUCCCUGGAUGUACAAUACAGACCAGAAGUUUGAACACACCUUCUCAUUCAAUGUGUUUUCUUUAUUUUCAUGACCAUGACCACUGGGAACUCCUUCAAGACUGCUGGGAAACCAUGUCAGGUGACUACCCCUUGAAGCUCAUCAAGACUGUGCAAAGCAGUAAUCGGAGCAAAGGGUGGCUAUUUUGAAGAAAUCAAUCAAUCAAUGAAUCAAGUUUUAUUUAUAUAGUGCUUUCCACCACCCUGAAAGGGGGCCCAAGGCACUGGACAAGAGAAGUAACAAAGCUAAAAGUAGCAAGUCAUAAAAACAUUAAAAACAAAAUAAGAACAUAGACAUUUGUGAACAAUAAGAUGCCAAUGAGAUAAAAUUUAGAUAAAAGAAAAUUUAAAUUAAUUAGUUAAAAGAAAGCUAAGAACUAAAACUAAAAACCAGAAACCAAAAGCUUUAGGAGAAGCCAUCCUAUAAAAAUGAGUCUUCAACCUGCUCUUAAGGACUGCCAGUGAUGGGAACUGUUUGAUUGUGAGUGGGAGCUGGUUCCAGAGACUUGAAAAGACCAAUCACCACAAGUCUUAAAACGGGUGCGAGGGAUGAUGAGCAUUUUCUGGUCAGCUGACCAUAAUGACCUUGAGGGAACAUGCUUUAUUAAGAGUAGGUUGGGCCACUGCCUUGGAAAAACUUAAACACAAAAAGCAGAAUUUUAACUGUGCCUUGUAUGAGACUGGGAGCCAGUGAAGGAAAUCCAGCACUGGAGAAAUGUGGUCCCUUUUCCUAGUUCCUAAAAUAAAAAGCAUGUUUUCAGUUUGUUCACCUUUUUUGGGUUAAGUACAUAACUCCACAUGUGUUCAUUCAUAGUUUUGGUGCCUGUAAAUGGUCAUGAACAUAAAGAAAACUCAUUGAAUGAGAAGGUGUGUCCAAACUUUUGUCCUUUACUGUACAUCAUAUGUAACUGGUAACUGUUUUGAGUCAACCCCAUUCGGUAUGGCCACCACAGCUAAGCUACCUUAGCAAAUGCAAGAAUCUCUGUAUCUUUUACUGGUAUUUGGUUACAGUUUCAUGUUUUAAUAGCUGAGAGUAAUACUGUGAGAUCUAACAGCAUGCAGAAUGUUUUGUUUUUGUUCGACAGUUAAUCAAGACUUUUAUCAUUUCUCAGUAAGAGAUCUUAGUUUAAAAGUCUAGCACAAAAGUUGGUGAGGGCCACUAAAGAAAAACUAGACCUUUUAGGACUUGCCGUACACGAGGAAGGUUUCAUAAUUAGUUGUUUCCAAGUAACUCACCAGUCUAAUUAUGUUUAUGGUUUGCAGAAGGACCUUCAUAAAAUGUUUUGACCAUUUUGAUACAGAGACCUUCUGAGCUUUACAUAAUUACUGUAGUGAAUAUACACUUCUCAGAAAAUGAAAGUAUUUAUCUUUAAUCAGAAUAUAAUUUCAAACAUCUGGGAUAUUGAUCUGGUCAGUGAAGUAGCAGAGGUGGUUGUUAAUCAUUGUCAACUGUUUUGUUUAUAGCAAGUUUAAUAACUGGAGCACUAAAGGGGCAACAAUUUCAUGACCACAAAACUGUAAUGAUUUUACAAGUUUUUCAGUAGUUUUGCCAUUAACUUGAGUCAGUGUCUCUAUUGGUAACAUGAGAUACCUGAACCCUACAGAGGUUGCACUGGCAGCCCUGCUCCACCAGGGUGGCCUGUCAAUGUGGGCCAUUACCAGAAGGUUUUCCAUGUCUCCCAGCAUCUUUAGACCCAUUUUUAGAUCAUUUAGUAGUACAGUGGGCCCUGGGUUUCCUGGCUUCAUGUGGCAAGAGUAUGCAGGUGGCUUAUGGAGAAUGAAGGACUUGAUACCAUUGACUGGCCUCUGAGUUCACCAAACCUAAAUUACAUAGAAUGUCAUGUUUAUGUCCAUCCAACAUUGGGCUGGGCAAUAAAUCGAAAAUGUAUUGUUAUCAAAAUUUCUGACUCUUGUCGUGAUUAUUUUUCCCAUGUCAAUAAAUUUGAUAAUAAAAAAAUGAAAA